AGAAUUUGUAGAAUGAAUACACGUCAUUAUACACUUGUCCAAACCCAUAGGAUGUGCAACACCAAGAGUGAACCCUAAUGUGAACUAUGGACUGCGGGUGAUAAGGACG